rnacentral:rRNA from 1 species
GGAUGAACGCUAGCGACAGGCUUAACACAUGCUUGUCGAGGGGCAGCGGGGGCGAAGCUUGCUUCGCCUGCCGGCGACCGGCGCACGGGUGAGUAACACGUAUGCGACCUGCCCCCCGCAGGGGGAUAACCGGGAGAAAUCCCGACUAAUACCGCGUAACGCCGCUGGGCUGCAUGGCCCGGCGGCCAAAGGAAGCGAUUCCGGCGGGGGAUGGGCAUGCGGCGCAUUAGCUAGUCGGCGGGGUAACGGCCCACCGAGGCGACGAUGCGUAGGGGUUCUGAGAGGAAGGUCCCCCACACUGGUACUGAGACACGGACCAGACUCCUACGGGAGGCAGCAGUGAGGAAUAUUGGUCAAUGGGCGGGAGCCUGAACCAGCCAAGCCGCGUGAGGGAAGACGGUCCUACGGAUUGUAAACCUCUUUUGCCGGGGAGCAACGGGGUCCUUGCGAGGGCCCGAUGAGAGUACCCGGAGAAAAAGCAUCGGCUAACUCCGUGCCAGCAGCCGCGGUAAUACGGAGGAUGCGAGCGUUAUCCGGAUUUAUUGGGUUUAAAGGGUGCGUAGGCGGGCUGUUAAGUCAGCGGUCAAAUGUCGGGGCUCAACCCCGGCCUGCCGUUGAAACUGGCGGCCUCGAGUGGGCGAGAAGUAUGCGGAAUGCGUGGUGUAGCGGUGAAAUGCAUAGAUAUCACGCAGAACUCCGAUUGCGAAGGCAGCAUACCGGCGCCCGACUGACGCUGAGGCACGAAAGCGUGGGUAUCGAACAGGAUUAGAUACCCUGGUAGUCCACGCAGUAAACGAUGAAUGCUAGCUGUCCGGUCCUACGGGACUGGGUGGCACAGCGAAAGCGUUAAGCAUUCCACCUGGGGAGUACGCCGGCAACGGUGAAACUCAAAGGAAUUGACGGGGGCCCGCACAAGCGGAGGAACAUGUGGUUUAAUUCGAUGAUACGCGAGGAACCUUACCCGGGCUCAAACGCCAAAGGACAGCCGUUGAAAGGCGGCCUCCCUCCGGGGUCUUUGGCGAGGUGCUGCAUGGUUGUCGUCAGCUCGUGCCGUGAGGUGUCGGCUUAAGUGCCAUAACGAGCGCAACCCCCAUCGACAGUUGCUAACGGGUAGAGCCGAGGACUCUGUCGAGACUGCCGGCGCAAGCUGCGAGGAAGGCGGGGAUGACGUCAAAUCAGCACGGCCCUUACGUCCGGGGCGACACACGUGUUACAAUGGCCGGUACAGCGGGAUGCCAGGGCGCGAGCCCGAGCGGAACCCGAAAACCGGUCUCAGUUCGGAUUGGAGUCUGCAACCCGACUCCAUGAAGCUGGAUUCGCUAGUAAUCGCGCAUCAGCCACGGCGCGGUGAAUA